UACACUAUUACAAGCAUACAUCC
rnacentral:misc_RNA from 1 species